AUUGAACGCUGGCGGAAUGCUUUACACAUGCAAGUCGAGCGGCAGCGCGGGGCAACCUGGCGGCGAGCGGCGAACGGGUGAGUAAUACAUCGGAACGUACCCAGUUGUGGGGGAUAGCCCGGCGAAAGCCGGAUUAAUACCGCAUACGACCUGAGGGUGAAAGGGGGGGAUCGCAAGACCUCUCGCAGUUGGAGCGGCCGAUGGCGGAUUAGCUAGUUGGUGAGGUAAAGGCUCACCAAGGCGACGAUCCGUAGCUGGUCUGAGAGGACGACCAGCCACACUGGAACUGAGACACGGUCCAGACUCCUACGGGAGGCAGCAGUGGGGAAUUUUGGACAAUGGGGGCAACCCUGAUCCAGCCAUUCCGCGUGAGUG
rnacentral:rRNA from 1 species